rnacentral:rRNA from 1 species
UCGGGAAUUUUGGGGCAAUGGGGGAAACCCUGACCCAGCAACGCCGCGUGAAGGAUGAAGUAUUUCGGUAUGUAAACUUCGAAAGAAUAGGAAGAAUAAAUGACGGUACUAUUUAUAAGGUCCGGCUAACUACGUGCCAGCAGCCGCGGUAAUACAGAGGGGGCAAGCGUUGUUCGGAAUUACUGGGCGUAAAGCGCGCGUAGGCGGUCGUAUAAGUCGGAUGUGAAAGCCCUUGGCUCAACCAAGGAACUGCGUCCGAUACUGUACGGCUUGAGGCUGGUAGGGGGUAGCGGAAUUCCCGGUGUAGCGGUGGAAUGCGUAGAUAUCGGGAGGAACACCGGAUGGCGAAAGCGGCUACCUGGGCCAGAUCUGACGCUGAGGCGCGAAAGCUAGGGGAGCAAACAGGAUUAGAUACCCAGGUAGUCCCUGAGCGGGCUGGCAAGGCGCAU